rnacentral:rRNA from 1 species
UACGGGGGGGGCAAGCGUUGUUCGGAAUUAUUGGGCGUAAAGGGCGCGUAGGCGGUGCGGUAAGUCUCUUGUGAAAUCUCCGGGCUCAACUCGGAGCCUGCAAGGGAAACUGCCGUGCUGGAGUGUGGGAGAGGAGCGUGGAAUUCCCGGUGUAGCGGUGAAAUGCAUAGAUAUCGGGAGGAACACCCGUGGCGAAAGCGGCGCUCUGGACCACAACUGACGCUGAGGCGCGAAAGCUAGGGGAGCAAACAGG